rnacentral:rRNA from 1 species
UACGUAGGUGGCAAGCGUUGUCCGGAUUUACUGGGCGUAAAGAGCGCGCAGGCGGUCGUUCAAGUCGAGUGUGAAAGCCCCCGGCUCAACUGGGGAAGGUCACUCGAUACUGAUCGACUCGAAGGCAGAAGAGGGAAGCGGAAUUCCAGGUGUAGCGGUGAAAUGCGUAGAUAUCUGGAGGAACACCGGUGGCGAAGGCGGCAUCCUGGACCGGUAUUGACGCUGAGGCGCGAAAGCUAGGGGAGCAAACGGG